rnacentral:rRNA from 1 species
AUGGCCUCGGCGUCGCUGCCGGACGACCUUGUCCUUGAGGUUCUCCAACGUGUCAAAGACGUAGCCACCCUCUUCCGCUGCCGGACGACCUUGUCCUUGAGGUUCUCCAACGUGUCCUUGAGGUUCUCCCUCGUCCCCAACAUCAACGACAAGUUUAACCAGCCGGUGCCGCUCACCUCACGCCAGGGCCUCCUCCUCGUGCGCCUGAACCGGUAUCAGGGUUGCGGCCUCCUUGGCGUGUGCAACCUGAUCACCGGCGCAUUCGACGUGCUCCCCCCUCUACAGCAUACAUGGAGUUCCGACAGCAACCACCUGGCUGGCUAUGCUAUACUGACGGCUAGAGACUGUUCGAGCUCAAGGGAUCACCCCGAGGAGCAGCAAUUGCCCUUUUUCAAGGUGAUGAUCCUGACCAUCGAUGUGAACAUGAUGCAGUACAAUCUCCAAACAAUUUCAUCGGCCAAUGCAUCGGGAUGGAAAAUAUCCUUCGGGAGUCUAGAGAAGAACAAGAGCCAGAGCAUCUACAUGGUGCUUAGGCAGCACAACGCGGUGGUGUGCCGCGGAAUGGCGCAUUGGCUCUUUUCGAGCACAUCGGGCUUGUACACGCUAGAUGUAGACGCCCGGACUGAUCACGUGUCCUUUACAAACUUGUUGGACAUGGGACGGAUCGAUAACUACUUUGGUCGCCCUACUUAUGAUGCACCCUACCUCGCUGUCAACGGGAAGGGGAAGCUCAUGUUGGUCUACUUGAACAAGGGAGGUUACCGGUUGGAGAUAUGCACAUCUCACAACAACGGGAGGUGGCACCAUGCCUUGGCGCGCAAGCUAAAACAACCGAACCAGAAGAAACAUGAGAAGAAGACUCAAGGAGAAGUUCUUUACACUUGCUUGGGAGAGAAGAAUGGAACGUUGAUCAUCAAGGACAACCAUCAUGAUGCCUACGUUAUUGAUAUCAACACGGGGGUGGUGCAAGAGGUGAUAGAUUCACCGCACACUCGUCGUCUCAAUCGGGAAAAGACUGUGCCCUUUGAAAUGGAUUGGCCGGCCUUCUUUGUUUCUCGGCUUGCUGUGGUAUCUACAUGGUAG